rnacentral:rRNA from 1 species
GUACGGAAGGCAGCAGCAAGGAAUUUUCCGCAAUGGGCGAAAGCCUGACGGAGCAACGCCGCGUGGGUGAGGACGUCCUUCGGGAUGUAAAGCCCUUUUCUGGGGGAAGAGCAAGGACGGUACCCCAGGAAUAAGCCCCGGCUAACUACGUGCCAGCAGCCGCGGUAAUACGUAGGGGGCAAGCGUUGUCCGGAAUUACUGGGCGUAAAGCGCGCGCAGGCGGGUGGCCGCGUCCGGCGUGAAAGCUCUCGGCUUAACCGGGAAGGGUCGUCGGAUACGGGUCACCUGGAGGACGGGAGAGGAACGUGGAAUUCCCGGUGUAGUGGUGAAAUGCGUAGAGAUCGGGAGGAACACCAGUGGCGAAGGCGACGUUCUGGCCCGCCCCUGACGCUGAGGCGCGAAAGCGUGGGGAGCGAACGGGAUUAGAUACCCCGGUAGUCC